UCCCCUGUGGCUUAGUUGGUUAUAGCAGUAUGCUUAUAUUUUUCUAAUAAGGGAAACGUACCGGUCGCGAGUUCGAUCCUCGCCAGGGGAA